rnacentral:sRNA from 1 species
GCUGGGCACAGUGGCACAUGCCUGUAAAUCCCAACUCCUCUGGAGGCUGAGACAGGAGGAUCACGAUUUCAAAGUCAGCCUCAGCAACAGUGAGGCGCAACUCAGUGAGACCCUGUCUCUA